ensembl:lncRNA
GCAUCUCAGCGAGGAGUCACUGGUGGAAACGUCUGAGAUGAGCGGCCCAGAAUAGACAUUUGUACCCUGUGGAGGGCUGCACCACAAUCACAUACCAUUAGAGCUCUUCACUUCUUAUGCAGUUUGACACACGCAGUAUGGACACAAACACACACACACACACACACACAUGUGAAAAUGUAGAUCAGCAGUUGAUGGUGGAAGAGACCCAGAAGUUUUUUGCUACUAGUCUGGAUGAAGGUGCAUUUCUGCAACAACUUUGCUUUUAGGAACUUCUAAUAAGAUAAGUAAAACCUUCAUUUAUCCCGAGUGAAAUUCUUUUGUCCGAAAAAUUAUUUUUGUCCUUCAGAGACGUAGUACCUGCAAAGACAAGAGACAGACGGACAGCUUUUUAUUUCGUGGUUAAGAUGAGGCGGAAGAAAGAGAAGGAAUGAUGUGCAUCUGAGGAGUUCAUACGCAGACGUGAGGCUGAAUUUAAAUGUGGCCGUUCCUCAUGGUGACCAUCUCCUCACCUCUGUUACACACAAUCACCUUCUGUAGUCAGAUUAAUGAGCCCCAGGUUCAUUAAUCCAGGUGAUUCUCAUUAAUGUUCAAUGAGCCAAAUGUCAUUUUUUAAUCAUGAAAAAUAUUAUUAGUGCAAAUUUUUAUUUUAGUUUUUGUACGUGUAUGAUUAUUUAUUUUGCCCUUAAUCUUUGAAUAGUUUCCUUAUAUCUUCCAUGUUGUAAGGUCAGGAUUAAAUGUGUUAUUCUCCUCUCCGGUAUAUGUAAGUACAGGACAGAGCGUUCCGGGCUUUCUAUGAAUGAACAGCCGGACUCCCACGCCGAGCCAUGACUCACGGCCGGAGCUUCAUGUACUUUACUGUUAGAUAGUGGGAACGGGUUAUAUUUAACCAGGAUACACACACACAGCCUGUAAAUAACCUGCUGCUACAGUUCACUGUGAGGAAAUCCACCUCCUCUGUGCAGGGAGGGCAGGGUCCCUGGCGCCACUCACGUGUGCACCGAGCUCGGCGGCGCUCCCCGGUGGCCGAGCGGAUCGCUGAGAUUGAUGGCCGGCCGCAUGGACUUAAACUCCCUCGUAUCCGGCGCUGCUGGCAGGUCCCAGCUCAAUUUAGCAAAGAGUGGAGAGAAAAGCCGCCGGGGGGGCGGGUUCACCAGGAGCCAAUUCAUCUCCAAGCUGAGGGACGUGCGAGGCGGAGGAGGAGAGAUACAGGAGCCACAAAUAAACAGGAUGAAGUUCUGCUGACCCUCUUUUCCAAAAAGGAAGCUGCUGCAGGACCUGCAGAGAACUCGGCCCCAAACCUCCGGCUCAUGAAACAUCCAGCAACCUCUACGCAACAUGCUGAGAUAAUCGGUUUAAUCUGAUUAAACUAUCAGGCAGUCAUGAUGUGAGACAUUUGAAAGUCAAAUAUCCCAUUUUUACAUACAGUCAGUAGUCCCCUUCUAAGGGGGGUUAAAUGUCUUGCUCAGGGACACGAUGGUAAUAAGUGGGGUUUGAGCCUGGGACCUUGUGUCCGUCCCACAAAUUUGCACCACAGCAAUUAACAUCUCUCAUUAUUCAAGGGAGAAUUUUUUUGGCGCUCUUGUAAUUUGUUUUCUUCAGCACCAGGGUGCAAAGGAUGAAAUCAGGAGAACAAUCCAGAAAUGAACUGGAUUUUUUAUUAUAAACCUAACACACAGCAAAUUGUUUAAACUAUUUAAAUGUGAUCUGAUGUAUUAAAUGUGUAAAUGAAAAGUAGUGAUGUUGUUGUGGCUUUUCCACCCCUGGAGACCCCAGUCUUAAUUAACGCUGUCAGGAACGUUACGUAAGAAUUAUUAUUUAUUCUCCAGCUGAAGUGAGUGAGGGCGACUGAGAAAGUCUGAGCCUACGGCAAGGGCAGCAAGACUUGAAUGACAGCUGCCACUCAUCAGCAGCGCUUCGGUGCCCUUAGGUCGACGCCCACCUCACUACUGAUAAUUCUGUACAUGCAUAAACACACACACACACACAUCCAUGCUCACACAGAGUUUGCAAAGCACCUGCUC